UUGUGUUCUUCGGCGUCUUAUUGUGAUUUGUUUAGGGAUUUGUUAUCCCCCAGGGGAACACGUUCUUACGUGUUUACGGGUCUUAGCGAACCCGGGGUCCCGAGCUCUUGUUAGGUUGUUUGUAGGAAUAUCUGACCAGCUGUUCAACUCUUUUGACUUUGAUUUAGGGAAAUAGUUGCAAUGUUUGUUAUUGGUAAUCUUUUUGUUCAUCGGUUUUUCUUUGUGAUUGGCAUUAGUUACUUGUUUAAUUGAUUGUCCUCUUUAUAGUAUUAGAUUUAUUUGUUGUUAGUUUUAUGAGAGGUAUUUCUUGGUUUUUUUUUUUUUUUUUGGUUGUAUCUUAUUUUGUAUUGAAUAGUACUGAAUUUUUGCUACUAAAUAGGAAUAUGAUUUUUACUUUAAUAUUCUUGGUUUUGUUCUUCGGUUUUUUUUUUUUUUUUGUGAUUUGUUUUAGGUAUAUGUUUGAUGGAUUGUUGCUUUAUGUGGUAUUGGAUAUAUUUGUCUAUUUCAAUGAAAGAACAUGGAUUUUCUUUUUUGUAUCAACAACACAUGUAACCUAACCAAGGAUUUUUCGGGAGCCAGAUCAUGGAUAUUUAUCCUUUCAACCUAAAGGAAGUGUCAUUGGAGAGCCGGAACCUGGAUUUUUUUUUUGGAUCCACCCAAAUCAAUUUUCCACCGGGAGCCGGGGAUCCUCUUUUCGUUUUUGUUUUUGAAUUUUAGACUUAUAAUAUUUAAUGAACUGGGAUAUUUUUAUCAUCUAUCAAAAUCAAAAUUGUUUCAGGAGCUAAGUAACCUUUUUUCAUUUUCCACUUUACAUUUUCAAUGGUAUAUACAUGAUAAUUUUGUAAUUUACUUAAAUUAAUUUAAACAUUUUAAAUAAAUUAUAUUAACUAUA